rnacentral:rRNA from 1 species
UACGGAGGGUGCGAGCGUUAUCCGGAAUUACUGGGUUUAAAGGGUGCGUAGGCGGCGCAGUAAGUCAGGAGUGAAAGUUUGCGGCUCAACCGUAAAAUUGCUUUUGAUACUGCGGUGCUGGAAUUAGGAUGAGGUCAGCGGAAUGUGGCAUGUAGCGGUGAAAUGCAUAGAUAUGCCAUAGAACACCAAUUGCGAAGGCAGCUGGCUAGACCUGGAUUGACGCUGAGGCACGAAAGCGUGGGGAGCGAACAGGAUUAGAAACCCCCGUAGUCC